UGGAAGUUACAAGAAACAAUAACUGAGAGGUCUUACUGUUCGGUGGUUGUUUUGUCGUCUACUAAUCUGCUUACCGAGCUUCUCACAAUU